rnacentral:rRNA from 1 species
ACGGAGGGAGCGAGCGUUGUUCGGAUUUAUUGGGCGUAAAGGGCAUGUAGGCGGUUUUGCAGGUCGGGGUUAAAAGCCCUUCCUUUAAGGAGGGAACGGCUUCGAAACUGCAAGGCUUGAGUUCAGGGGAAGAAAGCGGAAUUCUCGGUGUAGCGGUGAAAUGCGUAGAUAUCGAGAAGAACACCAGCGGCGUAAGCGGCUUUCUAUCCUGAAACUGACGCUGAGAUGCGAAAGCCAGGGGAGCGAACGG